UGCCUUCGGGCAGUGGAAAGUGGCGCACGGGUGAGUAACGCGUGGGCACCUACCCUGAAGUGGGGAACAACCGCUGGAAACGGCGGCUAAUACCGCAUACGCCCAGGCUAACUUCGGUUAGUUUGGGGAAAGCUUUAUGCGCUUCAGGAUGGGCCCGCGUCGGAUUAGUUAGUUGGUGUGGUAAAGGCGCACCAAGACGUCGAUCCGUAGCUGGUCUGAGAGGAUGAUCAGCCACACUGGAACUGAGACACGGUCCAGACUCCUACGGGAGGCAGCAGUGGGGAAUAUUGGACAAUGGGGGCAACCCUGAUCCAGCCAUGCCGCGUGAAUGAAGAAGGCCUUAGGGUUGUAAAGUUCUUUCACCCGCGAAGAUGAUGACGGUAGCGGGAGAAGAAGCCCCGGCUAACUCCGUGCCAGCAGCCGCGGUAAUACGGAGGGGGCAAGCGUUGUUCGGAAUUACUGGGCGUAAAGGGCGCGUAGGCGGAUUGGUUAGUCAGAUGUGAAAUCCCCGAGCUUAACUUGGGAACUGCAUUUGAUACUGCUGAUCUAGAGUCCGGGA
rnacentral:rRNA from 1 species